AUUCAUCUGAUGAGUCCCAAAAAGGACGAACGUGCGUCUGGAU
rnacentral:hammerhead_ribozyme from 1 species